AUUGAACGCUGGCGGCAGGCCUAACACAUGCAAGUCGAACGGUAACAGGAAGAAGCUUGCUUCUUUGCUGACGAGUGGCGGACGGGUGAGUAAUGUCUGGGAAACUGCCUGAUGGAGGGGGAUAACUACUGGAAACGGUAGCUAAUACCGCAUAACGUCGCAAGACCAAAAAGGGGGACCUUCGGGCCUCUUGCCAUCGGAUGUGCCCAGAUGGGAUUAGCUAGUAGGUGGGGUAACGGCUCACCUAGGCGACGAUCCCUAGCUGGUCUGAGAGGAUGACCAGCCACACUGGAACUGAGACACGGUCCAGACUCCUACGGGAGGCAGCAGUGGGGAAUAUUGCACAAUGGGCGCAAGCCUGAUGCAGCCAUGCCGCGUGUAUGAAGAAGGCCUUCGGGUUGUAAAGUACUUUCAGCGGGGAGGAAGGAAGUAAAGUUAAUACCUUUGCUCAUUGACGUUACCCGCAGAAGAAGCACCGGCUAACUCCGUG
rnacentral:rRNA from 1 species